rnacentral:rRNA from 2 species
UAUCAAUAAGCGGUGGAAAAGAAACCAACAGGGAUUGCCCCAGUAACGGCGAGUGAAGCGGCAACAGCUCAAAUUUGAAAUCUGGCCCUCGGGCCCGAGUUGUAAUUUGCAGAGGAUGCUUCGGGCGAGGUGCCUUCCGAGUUCCCUGGAACGGGACGCCACAGAGGGUGAGAGCCCCGUAUGGUCGGACACCGAGCCCGUGUGAAGCUCCUUCGAAGAGUCGAGUAGUUUGGGAAUGCUGCUCAAAAUGGGAGGUAUAUGUCUUCUAAAGCUAAAUAUUGGCCAGAGACCGAUAGCGCACAAGUAGAGUGAUCGAAAGAUGAAAAGCACUUUGAAAAGAGGGUUAAAAAGUACGUGAAAUUGUUGAAAGGGAAGCGCCCAUGACCAGACUUGGGCCCGGUGAAUCACCCGGCGUUCUCGCCGGUGCACUUUGCCGGGCACAGGCCAGCAUCAGUUUGGCGCGGGGGAAAAAGGCUCCGGGAAUGUGGCUCCCUCGGGAGUGUUAUAGCCCGCCGCGUAAUACCCUGCACCGGACUGAGGCACGCGCAUCGCAAGGAUGCUGGCGUAAUGGUCAUCAGCGACCCGUCUUGAAACACGGACCAAGGAGUCGUCUUCGUAUGCGAGUGUUCGGGUGUCAAACCCCUACGCGGAAUGAAAGUGAACGCAGGUGAGAGCUUCGGCGCAUCAUCGACCGAUCCUGAUGUUCUCGGAUGGAUUUGAGUAAGAGCAUACGGGGCCGGACCCGAAAGAAGGUGAACUAUGCCUGUAUAGGGUGAAGCCAGAGGAAACUCUGGUGGAAGCUCGCAGCGGUUCUGACGUGCGAAUCGAUCGUCAAAUAUGGGCAUGGGGGCGAAAGACUAAUCGAACCUUCUAGUAGCUGGUUUC